CGAAGGAUCCAAGCGUUAUCCGGAUUUAUUGGGUUUAAAGGGUGCGUAGGCGGGCUAUUAAGUCAGUGGUGAAAGCCCCAAGCUUAACUUGGGAAUUGCCAUUGAUACUGAUGGUCUUGAGUACACUUGAGGUAGGCGGAAUGUGUCAUGUAGCGGUGAAAUGCUUAGAUAUGACACAGAACACCGAUUGCGAAGGCAGCUUACUAAAUUGUAACUGACGCUGAGGCACAAAAGCGUGGGGAUCAAACAGGAUUAGAUACCCUGGUAGUCCACGCCCUAAACGAUGAUUACUCGAUGUAGUGCAAGUACACCGUACGCGUCUGAGCGAAAGCAUUAAGUAAUCCACCUGGGGAGUACGACCGCAAGGUUG
rnacentral:rRNA from 1 species